rnacentral:misc_RNA from 1 species
CAGGGAUAUGUCAUUGAGCCAGAAAGUCCUCUACUUGAAGGCUUGGCAAAGAUGCUUGCGGUCUCCAUGGCUAAUCCAAACCUAUUCUUUCUCAGACAUUGUCCACAAGAAAAUGAAGCUUGCUCCUCUACAGGAACGUAGAAUGAUUGACCGCUUUCGCAUAUGGGCCAAAGGAGGUGAUGGUGGCAACGGUUGUAACAGUAUUCGUCGUAGUCGACAUGAUCGCCGUGGCAGACCUGAUGGUGGGAAUGGUGGACGGGGUGGUGACGUGAUAUUAGAAUGUUCCCCUACAAUGUGGGAUUUGAGUGCUCUGCAGCAUCACAUUAAUGCAAAGAGAGGCGGAAAUGGGUCUUCCAAAAAUAUGAUAGGAAGCAGAGGAGCAGACAAG